ACGAACGCUGGCGGCGUGCUUAACACCUGCAAGUCGAACGGAAAGGCCCUGCUUUUGUGGGGUGCUCGAGUGGCGAACGGGUGAGUAACACGUGAGUAACCUGCCCUUGACUUUGGGAUAACUUCAGGAAACUGGGGCUAAUACCGGAUAGGAGCUCCUGCUGCAUGGUUGGGGUUGGAAAGUUUCGGCGGUUGGGGAUGGACUCGCGGCUUAUCAGCUUGUUGGUGGGGUAGUGGCUUACCAAGGCUUUGACGGGUAGCCGGCCUGAGAGGGUGACCGGCCACAUUGGGACUGAGAUACGGCCCAGACUCCUACGGGAGGCAGCAGUGGGGAAUAUUGCACAAUGGGCGGAAGCCUGAUGCAGCAACGCCGCGUGCGGGAUGACGGCCUUCGGGUUGUAAACCGCUUUCGCCUGUGACGAAGCGUGAGUGACGGUAAUGGGUAAAGAAGCACCGGCUAACUACGUG
rnacentral:rRNA from 1 species